rnacentral:rRNA from 1 species
UACAGAGGUCCCAAGCGUUGUUCGGAUUCACUGGGCGUAAAGGGUGCGCAGGUGGUUUGGCAAGUUUGACGUGAAAGCCCCGGGCUUAACCCGGGAAUGGCGUUGAAAACUGCUUGAACUGGAGGGUUGGAGGGGGAACUGGAAUUCUUGGUGUAGCAGUGAAAUGCGUAGAUAUCAAGAGGAACACCAGUGGCGAAGGCGAGUCCCUGGACAAACCCUGACACUGAGGCACGAAAGCCAAGGGAGCAAACAGG